rnacentral:rRNA from 1 species
GACGAACCGUGCGAACGUUUAUUCGGAAUCACUGGGCUUAAAGCGCGUGUAGGCGGGGUGGCACGUCGGUCGCUGAAAGCCCCCGGCUCAACCGGGGAAGGGGCGCCGAUACGACCACCCUGGAGGGACGUAGGGGGACCUGGAACUUCCGGUGGAGCGGUGAAAUGCGUUGAGAUCGGAAGGAACGCCCGUGGCGAAAGCGAGGUCCUGGACGUUUACUGACGCUGAGACGCGAAAGCCAGGGGAGCGAACGGG